UAUCUUUAAACCCAAGUUCUAUUAUUUGUAUUUUUAAGCCCAAUUCACUUUUGGUAUUUGUCUUUAAACCCAAUUACUUGUAUUUAUACAGAAUGAAUGUAAAAACCCAAAAUACCCCUUUGAUUGGCCCAAUAAAACCCAGUAUCUCUCUCAUCUUCCUCAUUUCAUCUCACAGCCCUAAAUUGAAAAAACGAGAUCCCCUUUUCGUCGUCGCCCGUCUCCAGCCGCCGACGCCCCGUUCUAGCCGUCGCCCGUCUCCGGCGUCGAUGUCCCUGUCCCUCUCUCUCCAGCUCGUGCCUUCCCAUUUCCGUCAUCUCCAUAAAUGCGUCCCUCUUCAAAAUUCUGAUGAUCAUGUCCUCUUGCUCUUCUGAUUUGAGAGGGAGCUAUUGAGGGGGGCCGGGCUUGGUGAAUGGCUCUGACGCGCGCCAUUUGAUGGUCUGGAGCUCUUGGUCGCUUGGAGCAUUGUUCAGGAGGAGCUGAUCAAGGAGCUCGAUUUGAUUCUCGAGAGCUGCAGUAGGUUCUUAGUGGAUCAUGGGUUAAAAAGGGUCACCAAUUGUUUCUUGCUUCACUUGAUGGAGUUUGGCCCUUUGAAGCUUACUGAUCCUUCGAAGAUUGGUGGGCUGUUGAACGGGUUGAAAACUAUGAGGAUGAAUAACCCCUUUUGGCAGUCUUUAUGGUGAAUCUAUGUUUUUUAACAUUCCUCAGCUUUUGGCUAUGUUUGUGACUGUGAAUGUAUCUGAAAUACGUGUGAGGAUGUUUUGUACCAUAUAUGUGAGGAUGUUUUGUAACAUAUCUCAAUUUGUGUUGCAAGUGUAACAUAUAUGCGAGGAUGUUUUGUAAUAUGCGAGGAUGUUUUGUAACAUAUAGGCGAGGAUGUUAAAAUUGGUCAUUGUUAAAAUUUGUUUGAUCUCUCAACUUGUGACUGAAUUUAGUGGUGAGUUUGUAGCAUAUUUCAGCUUGUGAUGGUGUUUGUGAUUGAAAAUGUACCGUGUUAAGUGUAGAGGAUGUUUUGUAACAUAUCUAUGUUUGUG